rnacentral:rRNA from 1 species
UACGGAGGGUGCAAGCGUUAUCCGGAUUCACUGGGUUUAAAGGGUGCGUAGGCGGGCAGGUAAGUCCGUGGUGAAAUCUCUGAGCUUAACUCAGAAACUGCCAUGGAUACUAUUUGUCUUGAAUAUUGUGGAGGUAAGCGGAAUAUGGUCAUGUAGCGGUGAAAUGCUUAGAUAUGACAUAGAACACCAAUUGCGAAGGCAGCUCGCUGGGACGUCACUGACGCUGAGACGCGAAAGCGUGGGGAGCGAACGGG